AAAAUUAGCGGAUGACCUGUGGCUGGGGGUGAAAGGCCAAUCAAACCGGGAGAUAGCUGGUUCUCCCCGAAAGCUAUUUAGGUAGCGCCUCGUGAAUUCAUCUCCGGGGGUAGAGCACUGUUUCGGCUAGGGGGCCAUCCCGGCUUACCAACCCGAUGCAAACUGCGAAUACCGGAGAAUGUUAUCACGGGAGACACACGGCGGGUGCUAACGUCCGUCGUGAAGAGGGAAACAACCCAGACCGCCAGCUAAGGUCCCAAAGUCAUGGUUAAGUGGGAAACGAUGUGGGAAGGCCCAGACAGCCAGGAUGUUGGCUUAGAAGCAGCCAUCAUUUAAAGAAAGCGUAAUAGCUCACUGGUCGAGUCGGCCUGCGCGGAAGAUGUAACGGGGCUAAACCAU
rnacentral:rRNA from 5 species